CGGACGGGUGAGUAAUGUCUGGGAAACUGCCUGAUGGAGGGGGAUAACUACUGGAAACGGUAGCUAAUACCGCAUAACGUCGCAAGACCAAAGAGGGGGACCUUCGGGCCUCUUGCCAUCGGAUGUGCCCAGAUGGGAUUAGCUAGUAGGUGGGGUAAAGGCUCAACUAGGCGACGAUCCCUAGCUGGUCUGAGAGGAUGACCAGCCACACUGGAACUGAGACACGGUCCAG
rnacentral:rRNA from 1 species